rnacentral:miRNA from 11 species
CGACUAACUUCGUUCAGUUUGGU